CCUACGGGUGGCAGCAGUGAGGAAUAUUGGUCAAUGGACGAGAGUCUGAACCAGCCAAGUAGCGUGAAGGAUGACUGCCCUAUGGGUUGUAAACUUCUUUUAUAUGGGAAUAAAAUGUUCCACGUGUGGGAUUUUGUAUGUACCAUAUGAAUAAGGAUCGGCUAACUCCGUGCCAGCAGCCGCGGUAAUACGGAGGAUCCGAGCGUUAUCCGGAUUUAUUGGGGUUAAAGGGAGCGUAGGUGGAUUGUUAAGUCAGUUGUGAAAGUUUGCGGCUAAACCGUAAAAGUGCAGUUGAAACUGGCAGUCUUGAGUACAGGAGAGGUGGGCGGAAUUCGUGGUGUAGCGGUGAAAUGCUUAGAUAUCACGAAGAACUCCGAUUGCGAAGGCAGUUCACUGGACUGCAACUGACACUGAGGCUCGAAAGUGUGGGUAUCAAACAGGAUUAGAUACCCUGGUAGUC
rnacentral:rRNA from 1 species